rnacentral:rRNA from 1 species
GACGAACGCUGGCGGCGUGCCUAAUACAUGCAAGUCGAGCGGACCGACGGGAGCUUGCUCCCUUAGGUCAGCGGCGGACGGGUGAGUAACACGUGGGUAACCUGCCUGUAAGACUGGGAUAACUCCGGGAAACCGGGGCUAAUACCGGAUGCUUGAUUGAACCGCAUGGUUCAAUCAUAAAAGGUGGCUUUUAGCUACCACUUACAGAUGGACCCGCGGCGCAUUAGCUAGUUGGUGAGGUAACGGCUCACCAAGGCGACGAUGCGUAGCCGACCUGAGAGGGUGAUCGGCCACACUGGGACUGAGACACGGCCCAGACUCCUACGGGUGGCUG